rnacentral:lncRNA from 1 species
UAAGGAAUGCAUCAGAAGGGGAGCUGGCUAGAUGCUUACUAUCAGCCUCAGUACUUGAGAAGAUCAGGAUAAAGAACAGGCUAAUGGAUUCUGAGAGACCCUUGUGGCAUGGUACACACCAGCUGCAAUCCAAACAGUGACAGAAAAGGCACAUUGGAAGGAGGAAGAGAAAUCUCAAGCUCAACUUUUUAUAAGUAUAUACUAAUAAAAACCACACAACUCCAACUACGGCUACUCCACAGGAAGCAAUGGCAUAGCAAGCAGUCACAGUGGCUGGAGCUGGGAUUAGCACAGCCAGCAAGGGAGCUUUAGAGCACUGAGUAAUGCACUGUUUUCAUUCUGGGCUACUGUCUUAAUCUGGUACUCUCAAGCCUCUCAGCUUUGCUCAGUUCUGGAUAAGAGAGGCAGGACUGAAGCUCAAGGAAGCGUCAUACUUUCAAGGCAUCCCAGUAAACCCCGAAGGGUUUUUCUCUGCUAACCUCCACACUCCAGCCAAGACUUGCGUGUUGGUGUGAUGCUGUACAGAGAGGACAAGGUAAGGCAAGGUGAGGAAGGUGGCUGAGUAACAGCAUGCACACACAUACAGGUGUGCACACGUGUGCAAGUGCUUGACAAAGGUGGUCUUCCCCCGUGCCAAAGGAUAGCAACACGAAGCCUUCGUGAAACAGCGCUUAUUCCUUCCUUUGGAACAGCAUAACCUGAGAAUGAAACCCCAGGUCCUGUGUCUGACCACCCCACAGGCAGGCCUUAUUGUCAGAGUCACCACCUCAAGUAAAUCAAAAUCCAUGCCCACAGCCGUGGCAAGGCAGCAGCAGAACCAGGAGCAGGACCUGACCUUCCCCUCUCCCAGGUCCCUCUCUUACCUGUGUGCCCCUACAGUGGCUUUAGCAAAGGGAACACACGUGGACAUCGCCCCCGUACCACUGGAGAUCAAAGCCAUGACAGAUUUGUUUAUUGCAACACUGUGGGCUGCUCCUUGCCAAAACCAAACAGGUUUUAUAAAAUGGAACCAAGAAAUCCUUUUGAAAUGGUCACUGACUGCCACUCAUUCCAAUGGCCUUUUAAUGAACUGGUGAAGCCAGUGCACAAUGCGUGCCAUAAGAUGUACUUCGAAAAUAAACCUCAGGACACAGUGUUUGGACGACAUAAGACAAUCUUCACAUAGCUAAGAACCAUAUGUUUAUUUGUAAGAGACAUGCAGAAAUGCAUUUUCUACAUUAGAGGUCAACCACCUGCACUAUUAUCCUCUGCUAGUGCAGGGAAAGGUCUUGUUUGCACGUUACAAAUACUUGCUAGCCACAGAUUGCAGUUGCCUCCCAAUGAAGCUGGUGGUACUCCAGUCACUGCUGCUGGUGAGACUGUGAGCAAACAGGGGCCACAACAGCCCACAGUAAGCUCAGUGAUGGAACAGCCGAAGGUUGGUGUGGAUAAGAGUUAUUCCCAGCUCAUUGCAAGCUUCAAUCACAACCUCGUCGGCAGCAGAGCCAGAUGGGGCAACGAUGAACUGAACUCCACUCCGUUUGGCUCUGUCAACAUUAUCCCUAAAAGGGAAGAAUGCGUCGGAGCUGAGGGAGACAGCAGUCAGCUUGGCAAUCCACUGCUUCUUCUCAGCUUCUGUUAGCUGUGCGGGCACCUCUUCAAACAUGGCCUGCCACUUCACCAGGUCCUCAUCCUCUCCAAUGGUGCCAGUGACGUACUGAUCGAUGGCGUUGGAGACCUCUGCUCUCUUCACUCCUGCUUUGAACUUCAUGGAGAGCACCCGUGGGUGGUGCCGCAGCCACCAGCUGUUGGCCUUGUCACCAGCCAGGCGCGUGCAGUGGAUGCGGGACUGCUGGCCGGCCCCGAUGCCAAUGACCUGCCCGUCCUUGGCGUAGCACACUGAGUUGGACUGGGUGUAUUUGACAGCAAUGCUGGCAACAAUCAGGUCUCGGACAGCAGACUCAGGCAGAGUUUUAUUCUUUGUAACAAUGUUCUUGAACAAGGACCUGUCAAUGACUGCAUUGUUCCUCUUCUGCAUGAGCUGCAAUCCAUAGAGGGUUCGAAUCUCAUUGUCAUCUGGCUCAUAAUUAGGGUCCAUCUAAAAGCCAACAGACAGGGCAAUAAAACACUGAGCUCUUCAAAGCUCAAGUAACAGCUUAGGUUAGAACAUCCUCAAAAGCAUCCAGAAGAAGUGAACUGUUUAGAGAAAGCAGUGUUAGAACAUCAGGAGGAGUUAGAAUUAAUUGGAGCACUGAGGUCUCAACAGCAGAAGGUGACAACGAAGGAGUGAUGAGGGACAGAGCAGCUUACAUGCUUAUACACAACCAUCCAUGUUGA